UACGUAGGGUCCGAGCGUUGUCCGGAAUUAUUGGGCGUAAAGGGCGCGUAGGCGGCCUGCUAAGUCGGAUGUGAAAUCCCUCGGCUCAACCGAGGAACUGCAUCCGAUACUGGCGGGCUUGAAUCCGGGAGAGGGAUGUGGAAUUCCAGGUGUAGCGGUGAAAUGCGUAGAUAUCUGGAGGAACACCGGUGGCGAAGGCGGCAUCCUGGACCGGUAUUGACGCUGAGGCGCGAAAGCUAGGGGAGCAAACGGG
rnacentral:rRNA from 1 species